AUCCAGCUGACGAGUCCGAAACAGGACGAAACGCGCAUCCUGGAU
rnacentral:hammerhead_ribozyme from 1 species